rnacentral:rRNA from 1 species
AUUGAACGCUGGCGGCAUGCCUUACACAUGCAAGUCGAACGGUAACGGGCCUUCGGGUGCCGACGAGUGGCGAACGGGUGAGUAAUGCAUCGGAACGUACCUUUCAGUGGGGGAUAACGUAGCGAAAGUUACGCUAAUACCGCAUAUUCUGUGAGCAAGAAAGCAGGGGAUCGCAAGACCUUGCGCUGAUUGAGCGGCCGAUGUCAGAUUAGCUAGUUGGUGAGGUAAAGGUUCACCAAGGCGACGAUCUGUAGCGGGUCUGAGAGGAUGAUCCGCCACACUGGAACUGAGACACGGUCCAGACUCCUACGGGAGGCAGCAGUGGGGAAUUUUGGACAAUGGGGGCAACCCUGAUCCAGCCAUGCCGCGUGAGUGAAGAAGGCCUUCGGGUUGUAAAGCUCUUUCGGCCGGGAAGAGAUCGUAUGGGCUAAUACCCUGUGCGGAUGACGGUACCGGCAUAAGAAGCACCGGCUAACCACGUGCCAGCAGCCGCGGUAACAC